rnacentral:rRNA from 1 species
UGGGGAAUCUUGCGCAAUGCGCGAAAGCGUGACGCAGCAACGCCGCGUGAGGGAAGAAGGCCUUAGGGUUGUAAACCUCUUUCAGGAGGGACGAAGGUCGGCACGUUAAUAGCGUGUCCGAUUGACGGUACCUCCACAAGAAGCCCCGGCUAACUACGUGCCAGCAGCCGCGGUAAUACGUAGGGGGCAAGCGUUGUCCGGAAUUAUUGGGCGUAAAGAGCGUGUAGGCGGUCCGGUAAGUCAGCUGUGAAAGUCAAGGGCUCAACCCUUGAAAGCCGGUUGAUACUGUCGGGCUAGAGUCCGGAAGAGGCGAGUGGAAUUCCCGGUGUAGCGGUGAAAUGCGCAGAUAUCGGGAGGAACACCAAUGGCGAAGGCAGCUCGCUGGGACGGUACUGACGCUGAGACGCGAAAGCGUGGGGAGCAAACAGGAUUAGAUACCCUGGUAGUCCACGCCGUAAACGAUGGGCACUAGGUGUUGGGGGUGUCGACUCCCCCGGCGCCGUAGCUAACGCAUUAAGUCG